UGAGGAAUAUUGGUCAAUGGGCGGGAGCCUGAACCAGCCAAGUAGCGUGCAGGAUGACGGCCCUAUGGGUUGUAAACUGCUUUUGCGCGGGGAUAAAGUGCGCCACGUGUGGCUCAUUGCAGGUACCGCGCGAAUAAGGACCGGCUAACUCCGUGCCAGCAGCCGCGGUAAUACGGAGGGUGCAAGCGUUAAUCGGAAUAACUGGGCGUAAAGGGCAUGCAGGCGGUUCAUCAAGUAGGAUGUGAAAUCCCCGGGCUCAACCUGGGAACAGCAUACUAAACUGGUGGACUAGAGUAUUGCAGGGGAGACGGAAUUCCAGGUGUAGCGGUGGAAUGCGUAGAUAUCUGGAAGAACACCAAA
rnacentral:rRNA from 1 species